rnacentral:rRNA from 1 species
AUUGAACGCUGGCGGCAGGCUUAACACAUGCAAGUCGAGCGAGCGGCGGACGGGAGAGUAAUGUCUGGGAAACUGCCUGAUGGAGGGGGAUAACUACUGGAAACGGUAGCUAAUACCGCAUACCAUCAGAUGUGCGCAGAUGGGAUUAGCUAGGAGGUGGGGGAAUGGCUCACCUAGGCGAAGAUCCCUAGCUGGGCUAAGAGGAUAACCAGCCACACUGGCACUGAGACACGGUCCAGACUCCUACGGGAGGCAGCCGUGGGGAAUGUUGCACAAUGGGCGCAAGCCUGAUGCAGCCAUGCCGCGUGUGUGAUGAAGGCCUUCGGGUUGUAAAGCACUGUCAGCGAGGAGGCGUUACUCGCAGAAGAAGCACCGGCUAACUCCGUGCCAGCAGCCGCGGUAAUUC